UACGGAGGGUGCAAGCGUUGUUCGGAAUCACUGGGCGUAAAGCGCGUGUAGGCGGCUUCGUAAGUCUGGUGUGAAAGCCCGGGGCUCACCCCCGGAAGUGCACUGGAAACUGCAAGGCUCGAGUACCGGAGAGGAGGGUGGAAUUCCUGGUGUAGCGGUGAAAUGCGUAGAUAGCAGGAGGAACACCUGCGGUGUAGACAGCUUUCUGGACCAUCACUGACGCUGAGACACGAAAGCGUGGGUAGCAAACAGG
rnacentral:rRNA from 1 species